GUUUCCGUGGUGUAGCGGUUAUCACGUCUGCUUUACACGCGGAAGGUCCCCGGUUCGAUCCCGGGCGGGAACA
rnacentral:tRNA from 1 species